rnacentral:rRNA from 1 species
AGCAGCCGCGGUAAUUCCAGCUCCAAUAGCGUAUAUUAAAGUUGUUGCAGUUAAAAGCUCGUAGUUGAAUUUCGGGAUCAAUUUAUCGGUCGUGCCAAUGGUAUGAACUGGUACAAUUGGUUUCUCCCUUCUGACGAAGCAUGAUGCCAUUAAUUUGGUGUCGUGGGGAAUCAGGACUGUUACUUUGGAAAAAUUAGAGUGUUUAAAGCAAGCAUUAGCUUGAAUACAUUAGCAUGGAAUAAUGAAAUAGGACGUUUGAUCCUAUUUCGUUGGUUUCUAGGAUCGACGUAAUGAUUAAUAGGGAUAGUUGGGGGCAUUAGUAUUCAAUUGUCAGAGGUGAAAUUCUUGGAUUUAUUGAAGACUAACUACUGCGAAAGCAUUUGCCAAGGAUGUUUUCAUUAAUCAAGAACGAAAGUUAGGGGAUCGAAGACGAUCAGAUACCGUCGUAGU